rnacentral:lncRNA from 1 species
GGUUAAAGCCAUGGCACCUACACCGCUGGCCUCAUGGCCCAUAUGUCCUAUAGCUGCAAUUAUAAGAGUUGGAUAUAAAAUUUCCACUGCUUCAGUCCUUUCCCAAGGGACUCAACAGUUGAAGGGCACUGCAGCCCCUCUCAUCUUCUGUACAUGUCUCAGAUUACAGGUGACAGUAAAGAGAAUCUUGAGCUUCGAAAACAAGGAGUCCUAUCUGCUUGUCUUGCUUACUGAUAAAUUGGCCAUGCGUAGCUCCAUGCCUUAUACGUGCAAUCUUCCACAAGGGCUAGGCAAUUUGCAAUGAAGAUGAAGUUUAAGACAUAAAAGGAAGUAAGAUUGAUCUCAUGAAGGCUCCAUUUCACAAACACCUUCGGGCAUUUCCAAUCAACACAGGUUGUUAACAUAUGCAUUUGUGAUUUUUUUCUUUCUUUUUCUAAAAAUGGAAAUAUCUUUAAA